AAACAUGUUUCUAUUGAGAUUCUUUAAUAAAAAAAAAACACAGUUAAAUCUCCUGCUAGCUCCCAUAAUGAGUCUUUCUGCUACGUAUAAAAUGUGCUUUGUACCACACCGAGUUCCCCCUUUUUCUUUUCAUUUUACUUUUAUACCGAAAUAACCACUAGCUCAGUGCUGGGAUCCUCACAUGGAGUUUGGGGAAAGGACAGGCUCCAAAUGUAAUCUGCCAUCGAGUCACCAGUAAGAUAGCCAUCAAGGUAAGUCACUUUCAACUUUUGUCACCUACUUAAAAACAAAUGGACCCCAUUGCCCCCUCUUAGGGAGCUGAGAGAGCGAGGUUUGCUUUCACAAUGCUCUGUGACAGAGACAGACAGGAGGGGAGCUUUCUCCACCAUUCACAUAGAAUAUAAAAAGUAAUACAUUUAUACAUUCUACAUCAGGUCUCCCUAUACCCCAUUCUGGAUUUAAAGGCACACAGUUGCAGGAUGCCAGCUACUUUCCAAAAGGGAGAGGAUUUCUUAAAAUAUUCCUUCAGAACAGGCUAUAUCUAUUUAAUGUUGUUACAGUGACUAAAAACACUUUAUUACGUCUACAAACAGAUAUGAAUAGGUAGGAAUUAUUUAUAUGUAAAACUGUGUGUAUAUUUAUAUGUGAGAAUGUAAGUGUGUGUAUAAGUGUAUAUGUGUGUGUGUGUCUGUAAGUAUACAUACGUGCAUGUCUCUAUAUGUAUGUCAGUGUGUGUGUGUCGGUGUGUGUGUGUAUUUCAGUUUCAAUAUUCGAUGUAUGAAUUAUACUCUCACUAUACUAUAUCUGUAUUUACACAUAUAGCUAUGGACGGUGUAGUGAGUAUAGAAAUAUUAAAGUCAUUGUAUGGUAAUUACACUUACAAUAUUUUUCAGGUUAUUCAUUAAAAAUGAACUAUGUUGAUCUGAUAAUGAGCUCGCAAAAUGUAGGCCAACAAGAUCCGUUUUGGGGGGACAAAAACACAAUUAAUUGAGGUUUCUCCCAUGUCGGAUAUUUAGUCUAUAUUUUGUACAGAGCUUACUGUUUAGUGAAUAAACAGCAUUCGUUCAUGAAUACAUCUCUAUAGUAUAAUAUAUCGGACACAGAAUACAAAACAGAGAAUAAUGAUCUUUAACCUGCUUCAAUAACGAUACAGAUAUUCUAUUUAUUUUCUAUAAAUAAACGAGGUUGGAGAAUUAUAUCUUUUUAACUCAGUUUGUGCCGUGGGUUGUUUAAAGAACAUGUCGAAUAUUUAACUUUUCCAAACACAAUAAAUAAAACAUUACUCGUGCAACAUUUGGAUGCCGCCCUCCUUUGAAAUAACUGAUCACAUUAUUUGUGAGGGUCUCAGUGAUAAUUUAUUACAUUCUAUGUGUAAAGUGCAGGAAAAAUAUUAAUAUUAAACAAACAGGGCAUCAUGGAAAAUCAGACUGUGCUGAUAGAAGGCAAAAUAUUAAAAUAUAGAUUUAUCUGGUAAAGAUAAAAUAAAAACACAGGAUGUUAAAUUAUAACAUAGAUAUAGCAACACUAUUUGGAUUGAUCAAAGAACACAAACAGCUAUCCAAAUAUAUUAAAUUAUAAUUAUUUUUAUUUAUAUCUUUACACACACACCUGUGUCUGUGUAUUGUGUUGAUUAUAAAUAAUAUUUAGUGUGCUACAUUUUAGUCAUUUCUCUACGAUAAUAAUAAUAAUAACAAUGUGUUUAACCAGGAAAGGUACAUUCAGAUAUUCCCAGGUUUCCAAGAAUUUCCCGAUAAGUUUGACCUAUGUGACAAUUCUAACCCAUACUGUGUUUAUAAAUAUUGAAAUUAAAUAAUUAAAAACAAACAACAAAUCGAGGAGGGAGCGCCAUGAAUAUCAGGCAUACAGCAUUGGACAAAGCGGUCAAUAUGACAUUUUCUCUAGAUACGAUCCAAGUAAAGUAGCGAUUUGGGCUAGAUAUGAACGGUGACCUGAUAUUGUUGGUAAUAAUUUUAGAAUGAGUCCAUCUCAGCUCUCCCUGAUAGUCACAGUAACAGCUCCCCAUGGCUGAGUUGUACAGGAUGACAAUACUAACGAUAUUAUAAGAAUACUAUUCUUAGGAUUAGGAGGAAAUAAGGCAGCAUUAUUCAAUGCAACAGUGUAUCCUUCCCCUACAAACAGAAUGUAACUAUGUCACUGCACAGCUAGCGGUUCUCUGGAAAAUAUAGCAUAGAUCCUUUUUUUUACAUUUUAUUUGGCGAAAGUAGAACCAAACCUAGGACUGUGUGUUCCCCGUGACCCCGAGGUAGUUUUUGUAGCAGCUAAUUGUUGAAGGGAGCCGGGCUGUCCAAUAGCUGGACGGGUAUAUAGGUAAUAUUGUUCUAAGCAGACUGUGCAGGGCUCUCUCCUGGAGGGGCCUGUGUUUAUCAGACUGUAGACCACCCAUGGAGACAGCAGACAGGCGUGUGCCCCCUCUCCUCUCCCUGCUUUUAAUUAACACCAGUAACUUCACUUGCACAACUCAUGCCCCCCCUCCCCUCGCCCCACUCCCUUCCCUACUAUAGGUUAGCUCUUCCUUAUCCCUGUCCACAACAGCCUGCACUCCUUGCUAUGUAGACCAUUGCAAAUUGAUCUCUAAACGUUUACAUAAGGUAGAAUAGGAGGGGGAAAUGACAUGUCCAAUUCUACAAGCUCCUAAAAUCAGAGGGAAAGAGGGGGGUUAUUGGCAUUUUAUAAACUUGUGAAUGGGUUCAUAAAAAGGUGUUGACAAUAAGGGGUAACAAUAAAGGCAAUUAUAGACACUUUAUGGUCUAAACCAGAUUGGGUUGAUAUUACCUAGAGUUAGCCCUCACUAUCUGCCUGGGUUCUGGGUAAAACUCAGAUUAUCUCCACAUCCCACACUUUCUAUAAUGUAAGACAGAGCUAGCACAGAUCCAACAUUAAUGGGUUUAGAAGAAUUGGGGCCACCUGGGUUACAGUAAUAUCACAUGAUAUUGCUCUAUAAAGUAAGAAUAAUCCCAUUAAACUCACACAUUAUAUGAUGAUAGUAUACACACAGGGGGGAUGGAGGGUAUACUGUACGUACAGUGCACCCACUACCUGUACUCCUGCUUUAUCCAAACCCAUACACACAGUAUAUGUAUAUACACACUAAUUUAUAUUUUUUUCUGGAUUCUUUCAUUAUUUUCCCAUUUUUAUUAUGAUUUGUCCCCUAAGGUGUAAACACAUAUCAAAAUAUCAAAAGACAACAGAAUAGAGCGAUUUCAUAAAUAAAAAGCAUCCUGUUCACCGAGCCAGAUAAAUAAAUCCAUCUAUUUCUGUGCAGUGUUCCUGGCUCCAUCAGCAAGCUUUGAUGGUUUGGCACACACACAGUGAAAUGAGGCUGUUCCCAUCACAGAACGUGACCCUCCUGAUUAUUAUUUUCGUUCCAUGUCAGGGAUCUUAGUGUAUUCUGUGUAUGGGUCUAUCUAUCUCACACUGAUCACUAGAGACACCCCCGCCCCCUAAAUUAUAUAUAUAUUAGGUGAUACAUUUCUAAGGUGUCUGAAAAUAUCUGGGGUAUGCAUCCUUGGAGUUUAACCCGUUCCUAGCCUCAGAGGACAUGUGUAAACUCCUUAAUCCAUUAUUAAAAUUCAGAACGGUCAGCUGGAUCUAUUUACUAAACAACGAGUUGUGUCGAAAAACUCUCUCUAAUCUUAAUCUUAUCUUCUCUGAUGAUUUUGUUCCAUUUCAGCUAUUAGUAAUUUAGUCAGUGACCUCAGUUAGAUUCAAGAGGACCCAGGGCUCAACCUGUACCUAACUUCUUAGCUCCCUCCUGUACCACAGCACUUCCCAGCUCACACCAUUCACAUCUCACCCUGCACCCCAAAACAAGAUUGCUUCACAUCUCACCCUGCACCCCAAAACAAGAUUGCUUCACAUCUCACCCUGCACCCCAAAACAAGAUUGCUUCACAGCUCCCUAAGCACACUUUACAGCUCACCCCAAAACCAGCUCACAUAACAGACCUCUCCACCCCCCAAUUCUAACCGAGUUCUCUUCAUUAUGUUGGUCAGAGACUACAUGUAUCCGCUAUCCUCAUCUACAAAAUCACAUUUUCUGGGACAUUUUAAAAUACCAAUUUUCACUAACGUUACUAUUUCUACAAUUUACAUUUUUGUUGACUGAGAUUUAACUUUAUUUCUCUGGCAUCAAUUUUUCUACCAUCAAAUGAAACAUAUAUUAAGGACCUAUUCUGUCUAUCUAUCCAUCUCUCAGGUUCCUGCAAAGCAUAAUAUUUUGCAGAUCCCAGUAACAAUCCCCCCUGUAGCUGUCACAGUUCAUGGGAUAUGACUGAUAGACCCACAAAGGAAUUAAUUCGGUGUUUUUUCAGGUAAAGCGAUCUAUCCAUCACUGCAGUCAAUAAUUGGCUCUUUAUGGGAAUAUGAAGAGUUAACAUUUCCGUAGCUCUUUAAACAAUACAUUAUAUGUUAAAUAAUACAGAGAACACACACACACAUCACGACAUGGAUGUGUGUACACAGAGAAACCCAUGGUGAAACAAAAACCGUGGAAUGUACAACAAAUAAUAACCAGAGUCAAAUCAACUAAAAUAGAUCGAAUUUUUAUAGCUGUAAUUAAACAAUAGUAGUUUAAUGCAAUGACUAGAGUUAUUUUAGCAACUACAAAGCAAGACAGCAAAUUUAGACCAAACCAGCAGCUCAGGGAACAUAAGAAGGUUUCUCUCAGCCCCUCUAUGGUACAUUAAAUCGUAUAUUGGUCCUUAAUUCAACACAUCUCGCUAUUAGUAAGUAUUGAAUACUGCUAACAUUCUAUAUCUUAUUAAAGUGUUAGGUAAAUUAUGUGUGUGCACGAAAUGUUUAACAAAAAACAAAAUAUGAUAGAAUAUUAUAUAGGGGGGAUAUCAUAGAAACAUUUAAAUACAUAAAGGGAAUCAACACAGUAAAGGAGGAGACUAUAUUUAAAAGAAGAAAAACUACCACAACAAGAGGACAUAGUCUUAAAUUAGAGGGACAAAGGUUUAAAAAUAAUAUCAGGAAGUAUUACUUUACUGAGAGGGUAGUGGAUGCAUGGAAUAGCCUUCCAGCUGAAGUGGUAGAGGUUAACACAGUAAAGGAGUUUAAGCAUGCGUGGGAUAGGCAUAAGGCUAUCCUAACUAUAAGAUAAGGCCAGGGACUAAUGGGAGUAUUUAGAAAAUUGGGCAGACUAGAUGGGCCGAAUGGUUCUUAUCUGACGUCACAUUCUAAGUUUCUAUAAUUAUAGAAUACUUAAUUUUUUGUGCGUUUUGUUUUUUCAAUCUAAGAAAUUACUUUUUUUCUAUUUGAUCGUGACACAAAAUAAUGAAUAAAAACAGAGUCCAUAAUUUUUAUAAUUUGUAACAAAAAGAUUGCAACACUGUACACACUAAGUAUACAUUGCAUUACAAUGUGAGCGAGUUAGACACAUAAUUAUAACUUUUUAUAAAAAUGGCAGUUGUUGUAAUAGAGCUAGCUGUGUAUUUACUGAUCCAAUAUGAUUAUUUCAGUUUCUUUGAUUUCCUGCACAGAUUUAUUUAUCUGCAGAGAUUCAGUCAGACAUUAUCAGUGCAGAUCAAUAAGUCAGGGUAUACCUAAUUAUUAACCCCUUUAAAUGCCAGUCCCCUGAGUGCCCCUCCAAUCAGGCACCCAAACAGUUACAUCGACCGUAGUAGGGCGGUUAAAGGGUUACAUGUUGCUCCCCCCCCCACUCAAUCUGUUAAUAGAUAUUGCAGGCUCAUCAUUCACACCUAUUACACUCCUCCCCCCUAAACUCUAUUCCCAUCUCAACAGCCCAACUAUUGUUAAACGGUGUCUCUUUAACUACAUUUGGAACAGGUCUGAUUAAUAACCGAACACACGAAUUUCAGGAAAAGAUUCGGUUUCCGAAUCCUGUAAUAAAAUGAAACCAAAUAGCAACAUUAAGACAAGUGCUGAUUUGGAAAUCGCUCUAGUUUGCGGAAUCUGAAUGUUGCCAUUCGGCUUUGGAUUCACUACAAUUCGCUGUUCAGUAUAAUUCACCCCUUUCUCCCAGGAAUCAUUAUGAGGAAUUCAUUCGUUUUCUAGUUAGUUGCCAUUUGUUUCUAUGAGAAUGGCUGUUUUUUUUUAAUAAAGGUGAAAUAUUAAUUAACCAACUCUGCUCUGACAAUGUAACCGGCUCCUAUGGGAUCUGUCUGAUAACUCAGCAUAAUAUAUUCGGCUUAUAGAGAAUUUCUGUUAUUAUUGAAAUCACCGGCUGGACUAAUUCUGAGAGCCCGUUAGAAAAAGUCAUUUGAUGGCAAUAUUCUGAAUGUGGUGCAAUCACCAUGGAAACCAGUGGGCGGUUCCUGACAAGUGCGGCGCUAUUAGCUCUGUCCUCCGGAUUUUCCAAUUCAUAAAUGAGUCCUGUAUUUCUCUAUUCCCAGUUACUAUUUAAUAGGAGCUUAUAGCAUCAUAAUUGUAAUAAUUAAUAUAUAUAUAGAAAAGUCACAUUUCAACAGAGCUGAAUAGAUAUUGAAUAGGUCACAUGAACCCAGGCCAUUAAUUGUGAGCUUUGCUCUAUCCCAGUGACCAAGAGACAGGUAAAUCUAAGGAAAUCAGAGGUCCAGCAAUGGGCUUCUCUUAUAUUAAUAUUGUCAGGAUUUGUUAUUUAGACAAAUGGUGAAAUGCAGGUCUAUCUGUCUGUCUCUCUAUCUAUCCAUUAUCAAUCAAUCUAUCCAUUAUCUAUCUGUCUGUCUAUCUAUCUAAUCUACCAAUUAUCAAUCAAUCUAUCCAUUAUCAAUCUAUCGAUUUAUCGAUCUAUCUAUCUAUCUACCUACCUAUCUGCCGACCUAUCUCGACCUAUCUUAGUAUGAAACAGCCCAUAUUAUGUCCUAUGUAUAAUACAGAUAUCCUGUAAAUAUAAACAAUUAGAAAAAUACAUAUUUAAUGCUGGUAAAUAAACAGACAGGAAAUACACUUUUAUCUCCUAUAAGUAUGGUCCAAUGGACGCUGCCAUCUGAAUUAUUUAUCAGAAUGUAGGCUUGGCUAUAUUAACCUAGAUUUUGCAAUUCUGUUUCAAAUGACCUGUAAUUCGAUGUUCAGAGAUUACACGCACUGCAUUUUAUAGAUCUACAUCUUCUAUGUCAAUUAUUUAUACUCUAACACACACAUACCAAGCCCGAAGGAUUGAUAUAUACUGAUAUCAAACAAAUCUGAUGAAACAUAUAUGGGUUUUUAUUUUUAAAUAAUUCUAGAAAUGUUAUUAUAAAUAAUGUGAUAUUGUAGGCUGUAUGUGCAUAGAAUAUUAUAUGAGAUUUUUUCUGAGCCACAGAGCUAGUCCUGGUCAUUUAGCCCAUCAGGAUUCCUAAUACAGUAAUUAGAUUGGAACUCGUAUUGUAGAGAGAAGACCUACUCAAACCGACAACACACACAGACACAAUCUGUUCCACACAAACAUUCACAAAACAGAAAAACAGACUAUCAUCUUAAACCUAGAGAUUCAAAAUAGCAGAAACAUAAAGGUCGACCAUCAAAAAACCGCACAAAAUACCAACAUUAUUAUUCCAGACUCAAUAUUAUUCUCAGCUCAUAAACCAAUAUCUAUUUACACCACGCUAGCACCAAGGUAACUAUCUCACGAGUUUAUUAGCAACCUGACUGCAACACAACAGCAAGAGUUUCAUAACUUGACUGCAAAUCCUAAAACAAUAACUGACAAAAAAUUUAUUAACUAAAGUCAAUCACAACUACAAUCAAAAACAACCAGAAACACAACUACAACCACUCACAACCAAGAAAUACAACUGCAACCACUCACAACCAAGAAAUACAACUGCAACCACUCACAACCAUAGACACAACUUAAACCACUCACAACCAAGAGACACAACUGCAACAACUCACAACCAGACACAACCAACCAUUCACAACCAAGAGACACAACUAAAACCACUAACAAUCAAGAGACACAAAGACAACCACUCACAACCAAGAGACACAACUAAAACCACUCACAACCAUGAAACACAACUACAACCACGAAACACCACAACUACAACCAAGAGAUACAACUACCACCAUUCACAACAAAGAAAUACAACUGCAACCACUCACAACCAUAGACACAACCACAGCCAUUCACAACCAAGAAAUACAACUGCAACCACUCACAACCAGAGACACAACCACAGCCAUUCACAACCAAGAGACACAGCUACAACCACUCACAACCAAGAGACACAACUAGAACCACUCACAAUACACUGUGAAAAAGACAGCCACUCACAACAAACAGACAUACACCUGUCAUUAUUAUUAUUAUUAUUUAUAUAGCGCCAUCAGAUUCCGUAGCGCUGUACAAAGGAAACCCAACGGAAUAAUACAGUCACUAGCAACAAACAGGAAAACCUACAGCUACUCCCACAACACACAUUUUACAUAUUUGCACCACUACGCUUUGAUAAAUCUCGCCCAACGUAUUUGUGGGAUUUAUGGCCACUGUACUUUCCCUUCUCCUAUUGUAAACUGCAAGGUGCAAAUCGCGCAAGUCCGCCUUGAUUACAGCCGAGGUAUUUACUAAGAGCGCAUAUUUCUAUAUAUCAUCAAUAUUAUAAAGCUCUUUGAUCCUUUGUAUUGCUAAUCACGGCAUAUGAGUGAACGGGGCUUCUGUGCUGGCAUUUCAUGCUGUGUGUCUGUCUAUUACCUGUCUGUCUGUCUGUCUAAUAUCACACGUCAGUAAACCAUUAAAUGACGUCAUACAUAAACAGAACAUUGCAAUGAUGUCAUAACCUCAAACCCCAUGUCACGGUGUAAGUAACUCGCUUUAAGUCAGAGCUGCUGUCACAAUACCAACUACAAGGAAAAUGCUUCUAUUACAAGAAUUCUUAGCACAUUAACAAAUACCAGCAUUUCGAUAUCUAGUUUCCGUGUGGGCAUUUAAAUCCCUCUUGUACCCAAUGUGAGUCAAUAAAACUAUUUUUUUAAAUCACAAAAUCAUUCCCCCAUUUUACCAAUAUCCUGCAUUCACAAUAUAAAACACCUCUCCCAGUUUUCCUUUUCUCCCAAAUUGCAGUGAUUCGAAGUUUCUCUCCAUAAUUGUGGUUUUUACUUAGUAUUCAGAAACAAACAUGAACUUUGUUGCUUUGAAUCCUUUGUUACAAAGUGAAGGAUUACUUUGUGAAUGCUAUAAUUUUAGUUACAUCUGCAGAGACACAGAUUGUAUAUUUAUAGCCAGUUACAGCACGAUCCUGUGCUCUGUUUGUACCUUGUGAUAACUCUGCAUCACUAAAUCACAAUAGGGAGAUCACACUAAAUUAUUUAGGGAUAAACAUAGCUAGCAGCUCUCUGAGCUAAAUGUGACAGUGAAUUCAAAGGCAUGGGCAGUAAAAUGAACCAUUUAUUCCCCAUAUAAAACAAUGGUAUUUUCUAAUCUUCACACUGAUAAUCUCACAGAAAAAUACAUAGCAGCGGCUGAUAAGAAUCCUAUAGAAAGAAUGAACUGUAUAAAUCCAUGUUAUCCAAGGGAGAUAAACUCAGACGAUUUAAGCCCUUACUAAUUCAUUUAAUCUAUUUUUUUGUAUUUAUUUCUAAUUAUUUAACAAUUCUAAAAUAUAUAAAGCAUGUGCUUAUCUAUUUACUAGUAAUUAAUAUCUAUUAUUUUCUCUACAGCUUGUUGAACUUAUCGUUGUUGUGAAAUGAUACCUGUAAAAAGUGAUAGAAUCAGUUAAUUUGGUAACAUUUUUACAGCUGUAAUUAUCGAACUGUUUCUCAAUAAAACAGAUUUGAAAGUAGUAAAUAAACUAAUAUUAUGAAGAAUAUAUUUAAAAAAAAUUAUAAUUAUUAUUAUGCUAAAGAAUAUAUAAAAAAAACAAUUAUUAUAAAGAAUAUAUUUAAAAAACAUAAUUAUUAUUAUAAAGAAUAUAUUAAAAUACAUUAUAACAAUUAUUAUUAUAAAGAAUAUAUUAACAAUAAUUUGAAAAUUGUUUUUUUAAACAAUGUUUAACUUUUUUUUUUACUUAAUUGUGAAUAAUUUGUAAAAGUAAAAAUUCGAAUAAUUUGUUUUAAUUUCAAGAAAGUCAAAUAAAUCCCCUGGUUUUGCACAAGGUGAUAUUAUCCAACGAGAGCCCCCUGCCCUUUGUAAUCAGUCCCAGAUAACUUCUAACCUCGCACACUAAUAGCACAUAACAGAGCGAUACUGUCUGAUUAUCAGUAAAUGGAUCGAAAUCUCAGGAUGAAAUAAUGUCAUUCUGUGUGUCUAUGAGAAAUGUGCUGUUUAUAUUGUGUGCGUGGCUGAUUGUAUUGAUUUGUAUAACGGUUAAUAUUUUAUUUUUCAGAUACGAAUACAGAAAAAUGUGGCAGAAAUUUGCUGAUAACCAGUUUUAAAAAACAAAUAAAUUAUUCAGACCUCA